rfam:Physcomitrella patens subsp. patens PHYPAscaffold_154 genomic scaffold, whole genome shotgun sequence.
AUGGAGCUUCAGCAAGGGUGCUUGACUUUAUAACCCGGCUUAAAUUAAUCGUGGUUGUAGAGUCAUGCACCUCUGCUGGCUCUCCUG